rnacentral:rRNA from 1 species
CCAGACUCCUACGGGAGGCAGCAGUAGGGAAUCUUCCGCAAUGGGCGAAAGCCUGACGGAGCAACGCCGCGUGAGUGAUGAAGGUCUUCGGAUCGUAAAACUCUGUUAUUAGGGAAGAACAAACGUGUAAGUAACUGUGCACGUCUUGACGGUACCUAAUCAGAAAGCCACGGCUAACUACGUGCCUGCAGCCGCGGUAAUACGUAGGUGGCAAGCGUUAUCCGGAAUUAUUGGGCGUAAAGCGCGCGUAGGCGGUUUUUUAAGUCUGAUGUGAAAGCCCACGGCUCAACCGUGGAGGGUCAUUGGAAACUGGAAAACUUGAGUGCAGAAGAGGAAAGUGGAAUUCCAUGUGUAGCGGUGAAAUGCGCAGAGAUAUGGAGGAACACCAGUGGCGAAGGCGACUUUCUGGUCUGUAACUGACGCUGAUGUGCGAAAGCGUGGGGAUCAAACAGGAUUAGAUACCCUGGUAGUCCACGCCGUAAACGAUGAGUGCUAAGUGUUAGGGGGUUUCCGCCCCUUAGUGCUGCAGCUAACGCAUUAAGCACUCCGCCUGGGGAGUACGACCGCAAGGUUGAAACUCAAAGGAAUUGACGGGGGCCCGCACAAG